rnacentral:rRNA from 1 species
UUGGAGCGUUAGGAAGUGACUCUGCCAGCAUAAGUAGCGAAAAACCAGGUGAGAACCCUGGUCGCCGUAAGUCUAAGGGUUCCUGAGAAAGGUUAAUCCGCUCAGGGUUAGUCGGAUCCUAAGGUGAGGCCGAGAGGCGUAACCGAUGGACACACGGUUAACAUUCCGUGACUACCAAAACUCGAUAAAGACCGAUGGGGGGACGCAGACCCAAGCUUGGUCAAGCCAAUGGUUUUCUUGACUGGGGGAGGGGAGAUCCGGAUUGGCAAAUCCGCCGGGUCGUCUGCCAGGAAAAGCCUCUAAGGAGAGUUAGGUAUCCGUACACAAACCGACACAGGUGGACGAGAUGAAUAUUCUAAGGCGCUCGGGUGAUGGUUUGUUCAGGAACUAGGCACAUUAGCUCCGUAACUUCGGGAGAAGGAGUGCCCACCUAAGGCGUGGGUCGCAGUGAAUAGUCUCAGGCAACUGUUUAACAAAAACACAGGUCUCUGCAAAGUCGAAAACGACGUAUAGGGGCUGACGCCUGCCCGGUGCCGGAAGGUUAAAGGGAGAGGUUAGCCGCAAGGCGAAGCUUUGAACUGAAGCCCCGGUGAACGGCGGCCGUAACGAUAACGGUCCUAAGGUAGCAAAAUUCCUUGUCGGGUAAGUUCCGACCUGCACGAAUGGCGUAAUGAUCUGAGAACUGUCUUAACAAGCCGCCCGGCGAACUUGUGGUCCCGGUGAAGACGCCGGGUGCCCGCCACUAGACGGAAAGACCCCGUGCACCUUUACUAUACCUUUUCAUUGAACUAUGGGGCCAUCUGCGCAGGAUAGGUGGGAGGCUUUGAGGCCGGACUCUUGGGUUCGGCGGAGCCAACGGUGAGAUACCACCCUGAUGGUUCUGUGGUUCUAACCUACUCCCGUAAUCCGGGAGAGGGACAAUGGAAGGCGGGUAGUUUGACUGGGGCGGUCGCCUCCUAAACUGUAACGGAGGCGCGCGAAGCUUGGUUCAGGCUGUUUGGAAAUCAGCCCUACGAGUGCAAAAGCAUAAACCAGGUUAACUGCGAGACCAACAAGUCGAGCAGAUACGAAAGUAGGCUUUAGUGAUCCGGUGGUUCUGUAUGGAAGGGCCAUCGCUCAACGGAUAAAAGGUACGCCGGGGAUAACAGGCUGAUCGGAGUCAAGAGUUCACAUCGACGCUCCGGUUUGGCACCUCGAUGUCGGCUCAUCGCAUCCUGGGGGUGUAGAAGCUCCCAAGGGUUAGGCUUUCGCCUAUUAAAGCGGUACGUGAGCUGGGUUCAGAACGUCGCGAGACAGUUCGGUCCCUAUCUGUGGUGGGCGUAGGAGAUUUGAGGGGGCUUGUCCUUAGUACGAGAGGACCGGGAUGAACGAACCUCUUGUGAUCCAGUUGUCACACCAGUGGCAUAGCUGGGUAGCGAAGUUCGGUUAGGAUAAACGCUGAAUGCAUAUAAGCGUGAAACCUUCCCCAAGAUGAGAUCUCCCAAUCGAAAGAUAACAAGAGCACAGGAAGACAACCUGUUUGAUAGGACGGAUGUGGAAGCGUGGUAACACGUUGAGCUUACCGUUACUAAUUGCUCGUUCGGCUUGACCA